rnacentral:rRNA from 1 species
UACGAGGGGGGCAAAUGUUGUUCGGAAUCACUGGGCGUAAAGGGAGCGUAGGCGGGAAUUUAAGUUGGGAGUUUAAUUCCGGGGCCUAACCCCGGGGGGGCUCCCAAAACUGGGUUUCUUGAAUGGGACAGAGGCCAGUGGAAUUGGAGGUGUAGCGGUGGAAUGCGUAGAGAUCUCCAAGAACACCAGUUGCGAAGGCGGCUGGCUGGGUCCACAUUGACGCUGAGGCUCGAAAGCGUGGGGAGCAAACAGG